rnacentral:rRNA from 1 species
GUUUGACCUCGGAUCAGGUAGGGAUA